CCUACGGGCGGCAGCAGUAGGGAAUAUUGCUCAAUGGGGGAAACCCUGAAGCAGCAACGCCGCGUGGAGGAUGAAGGUUUUCGGAUUGUAAACUUCUUUUGUUAGAGAAGAUAAUGACGGUAUCUAACGAAUAAGCACCGGCGAACUCAGUGCCAGCAGCCGUGGUAAUACGGAGGGUGCAAGCGUUACUCGGAAUCACUGGGCGUAAAGAGCGCGUAGGCGGGAUAGCAAGUCAGAUGUGAAAUCAUAUGGCUUAACCAUAGAACUGCAUUUGAAACUGUUAUUCUAGAGUAUGGGAGAGGUAGGUGGAAUUCUUGGUGUAGGGGUGAAAUGCGUAGAGAUCAAGAGGAAUACUCAUUGCGAAGGCGACCUGCUAGAACAUAACUGACGCUGAUGCGCGAAAGCGUGGGGAGCAAACAGGAUUAGAUACCCUAGUAGUC
rnacentral:rRNA from 1 species